CCUACGGGAGGCAGCAGUGGGGAAUAUUGGACAAUGGGCGAAAGCCUGAUCCAGCCAUGCCGCGUGUGUGAAGAAGGCCUUCGGGUUGUAAAGCACUUUCAGUGGGGAAGAAAGCCUUGGGGCUAAUACCCUCGAGGAAGGACAUCACCCACAGAAGAAGCACCGGCUAACUCCGUGCCAGCAGCCGCGGUAAUACGGAGGGUGCGAGCGUUAAUCGGAAUUACUGGGCGUAAAGCGCGCGUAGGCGGUCUGAUAAGCCGGUUGUGAAAGCCCCGGGCUCAACCUGGGAACGGCAUCCGGAACUGUCAGGCUAGAGUGCAGGAGAGGAAGGUAGAAUUCCCGGUGUAGCGGUGAACUGCGUAGAGAUCGGGAGGAAUACCAGUGGCGAAGGCGGCCUUCUGGACUGACACUGACGCUGAGGUGCGAAAGCGUGGGUAGCAAACAGGAUUAGAUACCCGUGUAGUC
rnacentral:rRNA from 1 species